UUUAAGACUAACCUAUUGUUUCUAUGUCGUGAGGGAGGGGUAGUUUUAGCGACGUGUUACUUGGAACUAAAAUCCAUCUACUGAACCGUAUAGACAGGUCGAGGACAUGCAUCACUAAACAAUGGGAAUGCACUGUAAAAUCGAGGACCCGUCCUCACGUUAAACUCAAAAUCAUUCCACAAAUGAUAUUUACACACAAUAGAGAGCUCUUUAUGGGUUUAUUGCAAUUUAAUUCCAGAAACCGCUAUCUACCUAUUAGAGUAGAUAAACUGACAUUGUGCAUUCUCUAUACCGAGGAAAAAUUAAUGAAUAAAUAUUGCUUCACGCAACAUCAA